UACGAAGGGGGCUAGCGUUGCUCGGAAUCACUGGGCGUAAAGGGCGCGUAGGCGGCCGUUCAAGUCGGGGGUGAAAGCCUGUGGCUCAACCACAGAAUUGCCUUCGAUACUGGAUGGCUCGAGACCGGAAGAGGUGAGUGGAACUGCGAGUGUAGAGGUGAAAUUCGUAGAUAUUCGCAAGAACACCAGUGGCGAAGGCGGCUCACUGGUCCGGUUCUGACGCUGAGGCGCGAAAGCGUGGGGAGCAAACAGG
rnacentral:rRNA from 1 species